rnacentral:rRNA from 1 species
UUACCGGCUCGAACGCACGGAAACUCCGCAAGGGCGAGGUGCUGCAUGGCUGUCGUCAGCUCGUGUCGUGAGAUGUUGGGUUAAGUCCCGCAACGAGCGCAACCCUGCCUGUUUUGCCAUCAUAUGGGACUAUCAGGGACCGCCAGCGAUAAUUGGAGGAAGGUGGGGAUGACGUCAAGUCAUCAUGGCCUUUAUGCCGGGCUACACACGUGCUACAAUGGGGUACAAGCGGCACCGCGAGGGGAGCAAUCGCAAAACCUUCUCAGUUCGGAUCGCAGGCUGCAACUCGCCUGCGUGAAGCUGGAAUCGCUAGUAAUGGCAAUCAGAUGUGCCGUGAAUACGUUCCCGGGCCUUGUACACACCGCCCGUCACAUCACGAAAGUGGGUGACUGAA